rnacentral:rRNA from 1 species
UACGGGGGGAGCAAGCGUUGUUCGGAUUUACUGGGCGUAAAGGGCGCGUAGGCGGUCGUGACAAGUCACUUGUGAAAUCUCCGGGCUUAACUCGGAACGGUCAAGUGAUACUGUCGGACUAGAGUACAGAAGGGGCAACUGGAAUUCUCGGUGUAGCGGUGAAAUGCGUAGAUAUCGUAAGGAAGACCAGUGGCGAAGGCGAAUCUCUGGACAGUUACUGACACUGAGGCACGAAGGCCAGGGGAGCAAACGGG